UGGGGAAUAUUGCGCAAUGGGGGGAACCCUGACGCAGCCAUGCCGCGUGAAUGAAGAAGGCCUUAGGGUUGUAAAGUUCUUUCGGUAUUGAGGAAGGUUGAUGUGUUAAUAGCACAUCAAAUUGACGUUAAAUACAGAAGAAGCACCGGCUAACUCCGUGCCAGCAGCCGCGGUAAUACGGAGGGUGCGAGCGUUAAUCGGAAUAACUGGGCGUAAAGGGCACGCAGGCGGUUAUUUAAGUGAGGUGUGAAAGCCCUGGGCUUAACCUAGGAAUUGCAUUUCAGACUGGGUAACUAGAGUACUUUAGGGAGGGGUAGAAUUCCACGUGCAGCGGUGAAAUGCGUAGAGAUGUGGAGGAAUACCGAAGGCGAAGGCAGCCCCUUGGGAAUGUACUGACGCUCAUGUGCGAAAGCGUGGGGAGCAAACAGGAUUAGAUACCCUGGUAGUCCACGCUGUAAACGCUGUCGAUUUGGGGGGUGGGGUUUAACUCUGGCGCCCGUAGCUAACGUGAUAAAUCGACCGCCUGGGGAGUACGGCCGCAAGGUUA
rnacentral:rRNA from 1 species